rnacentral:rRNA from 1 species
UGCCAGCCGCCGCGGUAAUACGGAGGGGGCUAACGUUAUCCGGAAUUACUGGGCUUAAAGGGUUCGUAGGCGGUUUUGUAAGUCAGGGGUGAAAGUCGGUGGCCCAACCAUCGAAUUGCCUUUGAUACUGCAUCACUUGAGUGUGUUAGGGGAGAGCGGAACGUGUAGUGUAGCGGUGAAAUGCGUAGAUAUUACACGGAAGGCCGGAGCCGAAGGGGGCUCUCUGGGACACAACUGACGCUGAGGAACGAAAGCGUGGGGAGCAAACAGGAUUAGAUA